AUCAUCAUGCGUUUUCAGUGUUAUGCAUCUUCACUAACCAAAUUCGAAAUGAAAUUACAAUCACACAAAUCACUGGGGCAAAAAGAUAGAAAAAAGAUAAUGCAUAUCAUUAAACAAUGGUUACAUUUAUGCGCAGGCCAUUAAGCCAACUUAUUAGAAGAAAGGGGGGAAAUGCAAUUUUCAACUAGACACCAAUUUACAGAAGGGCCAAGACCAUACUACCCGGAGAAAAAUUGCUUCCCAAAAAAACUAUUUGUAAGUGCAAUUAAUCAGGUUCGCUGACAAGCCAAAUGGCUUCAACCACAAAUCUUUUCUUUUUCAGUUAAUAAGGCACAAAAGGCUAAUAGUUCUGAUGCUCUUGGCUGGUAAAGAUCAAUGAAAAAUCCAAAACCCUGAAUUCCUUUCUAUUUUAGGUAUGUCUGAAAAUGUCAAAAUCCAUUUUCAGGAUCCUAAUGAUUCCCACGUGUCAAUGAUCAUUUCCCUAUAACACUACCUUCUCUCUGCAAUAAUGGUUCUCAUCAGAUGGUUCCUGCUCCAGUUCUUUAAUUAGUUUUUCAAUCUGUCUCCUAUAGACAGGCAUGAAAUGAUCACUAAUCAUAGUCUGAGAAAGCCUCAGUUUACCAUACAGGGAUCUUGGGGUCACGAAAAUCCCAACUUCAGCCUCGCCCAGAGGCUGGGUAUUUUCUGAAUCACUACUGGAAAGGGAAUCAACUUCGUUCUCUGCACUAUCAAAUGGAAGGGUAACAAUGUGCAUGAUCUUUCCUGGAGGAAAGAAUCUGUGCACUUCCUUAGUUUCUUGAGCAGUGCUUGCAGACUCGCUCUCACCUACCUCCGCCAUGGCCACUGCCUCUUCUUCCCUUAUUUCCUUUGCCAGAUCAGCAUGCCCACCAUCUGCUCUCUCAUAAAGCUCAUGCUCAAGUUGUUGCCACAAUUCAACUUCAUUAAUUCUGUCUUCAUGCGUAUUGCUCCUGAAAUCCUCACCACCAUCAAGAUCAGCAUCUAUAUCUAAGUGUUUAGCCAUCUCAUCUGAACAACAUUCAAUUUCUGAUGUCCAUUCUGUUUCCCCAGAAGUCACAGGAACUUCAAUGGCCUCUCUUGUGGUAUUCUUGGGAGAUAUAAGAGGCUCAGAAGUUUCUAAUCUGGAGGACAAUGUUGGGGAACUUCCAUCAGCUGAGUUGGAACAUGCAGUUGUGCCUCGAUGCCGGGGACCAAUGCAUGACCAUGAAGACAGGAGAAGGGAAGGACGGGUGGUCCAUGCUGCGUGAGCCAUGCUCUGGGCCCUCUUCAUCACAACCUGAGUACCAUUGGAAACUGGACGCAGAAUUGCACCUGCUCCAGCAACCUUUGCUUUGGCACUUGAAAUGGAUGGAAGACGGGAACCCAAAGCUGAUGCAGAACGAUAAACAGUACUAAGAAUUCUUGUGCGCUCAAUCUGAUUUCUCAAAUCAUUCAGCCAUGCAGAAGCUGUUACCUCUGCACGCAAGUCAUCUACAGCAGCAGCUGAAAAUGUAGGCACUAAGUCAGCUCCAUUUAUAACAGAAGUAAUAAAAUCAUUGCCCGAUUCAGCCAAUUCCCAUGUCAUGCAAGCAGCUGGAGCAAAUGUAACACAGCUAGCCAUUGAUAAUUCAUUUUGCUCCCGCAAUACAUAUGUUAAAAGAGCAGCAGUGCCUCCACCCAAAGAGUGUCCUACAAUCUUGAGUUUGUAAUCAGGAUAUUGCCCAAGAGCCUUUUUAAGACAAGGAGUCGCAAGUUUUGCAAUCCAACGAGCAGCUGCAACCAUCCCACAAUGUGCAUAACCUAGAACUAAGUUGCUGACUCCUCCCUCAUGCACAACAGUAUGAUGAAAUGGCACAACAGCUCCGGUAACAGCCGUCAAAGUAUCCUUGACACUAUGCGUCCCACGAAUAAGUAAAAGGAAAUAUUUUGUCUUGUGAUCAACUAAAAUUGUAAAAGCUGGCUUCAAUAUCUGUGAAAUAUAGAUCAGAUGAAUAGAUCGAUCGAACCAAGGAUACAUACUGUGUAUAUUCACUGUUAUUAUCUGACUUGGUAAGUGGAUAUAUAAGAUUCAUAUUACUACUUUAGCAAAUAUCCCUCUCUAUUAUCACCAGCACGUUUCAUGGGAGAUUUUUCGGUUCAUACCAUGAGCACUUCUAACCAUCCUCUUUCACAAAAACAAAAUAUAAUAAACUGAUCAAUAAAUAGAUAGCAUAAUUCAAGUUCAUAUCGACUUAAGAUAGCAUAAUUCAAGUUCAAAUUGACUUACUCCUGCUUUAGGUUCUUGAAGAAGAACAUUUUCUUCAGUAUGUCCUGUCUCCUCCAAAAAUAAAGGAAAUGGUUUUUUGGAGAAAUGCCAACACAAGGUCAGCAGGUUUAAGAGAUCUCUGAGUUCACUCGUUAUUUCUGACCCUUUCAGCUGUAUGCUGUCUUUACCACCAAACACGCUGCCAACAUGCAAGUUUCCCUGCCUCUUUAAUAGAAAGUUGAUCCCAAAUGCCAAGUCCCCAAUGGGCCACUUUCCUAGAGUCUCAGAGUAAGUAAACCUAAGUGUCUCUGCCAAAGUUGAGAUAGUCUCCAACCAUGUAGCAGGGGCUUGAACUAGCCUAUGCGAUACUCGUUCAAUUCCCAAAGGAACAUUACUUGCCACAUUGAGAUUCUCAUUUUCGUCAUCGUCAUGAGACGUACUUGACUGCAACUUCCGGUUCAAUGUAUAGUACAAAAGAGCAGCUGCACCAGCUGCAGUAGCCACAGUUGCAGUUGCCAUGAGUUUAUCCCUGAAUAGCUCUAUUUUCUCUUGAUUGGGUUUAUACCUUAGUUUCCAAGGAAUCAAUAGAUUAUAUGUACCAUAGCACCUCUCUGUUUACACGUUAUCUCUCUCUCUCUCUCUCUCGGAUUUUCGAGAUGAGAGAUGAGCGCAAACUGAAGUAAGCCCUCGAUUUUGCAAAAUUUUAUUUUUCUGUUUCUUCUGGGACGCGUGGCGGAUUGACUGGGUGGGGUGCUGAGGAGAAUCGAGAAAGAUUUCGAACAAACCGACCCAAGCUGAAGUGAAGGAAACAAUCGGUUUGGUAUUUAAGCUAAGAUAAAUGACGAAAUCAACGUCAACGUCGUGGUUUUUUGGCUUCCUGUCUUCGCCGUGUCCAUGUGCAGCUUUGUCCCACUCUGUGGAGACCUGUCCAGCGGUUCGU
rnacentral:misc_RNA from 1 species